ensembl:lncRNA
GCCUUGAGGGAAUAAAAUCGGUCGUCAUGCUGGUGUGAAUAUCUGCAGUGGUCCCUGACUUGAUGAGCUACUCCUUUCCUGUGAUUUGUGCGGUUCUUACAGCCAGCCCCACGGCAGAGCCACAGGAAGGAGCAGCGAAUGGAACUGCAGACUUCAGAGCAGCAACCCAGCUUCCAGAGCCGGUUCUGGACAAGCUUCUCUGGCCCGUCUGAGGGGUGAUCAGAGCCCAGCAGGUGAGCGUGCACAGUGUCAUGGAAAAUGACAACCACAUCCCACAGGCCACGGUGGGCAGUGGGAGCUCCUCGGUGAAGCGCUUCAGAUAAGCUACUGACGUGUCCCAAGGGACUCAAAGAGGUCAUUAUGCAGCCCAUCUGUAGGAGUUCGAAGGAUGACGAGGUCUGAGAUGGCCAGGACCUUAAGCAGCAGGGGUGUUCUCUGGCUGAGACUCACCCUAGCCCCUAGGAGCCCCUCGGCGUCUGUUACUGCUACUUUGUGGCCUGGGUCACGCACCGCUCACAUUUCCACGGUGCGGGGCUCCCGGGCAGGGGAGGGUCUGAAGGCAUCAAGGCCAUAAAGGAAAGUGUGGUUGAGGUGUGAGACUUCCCAUCACCAGUAUUUCCGGAGAUGGAAACCACCCUCAGGUGCUGCCCAGGAAAUUGCCAUCCAAUUUCCUCUUCACUGGGUCCCAGAAUGUCUUUGCUUUUCUCCACCAGAAGGAAACUCACCAGAAGGAAACUCACUUCUGGGCCGGUCAUCUUCUUCCUCUUGGCCUCCUCCUGCUCUUCCUCCUUCAGUAGCCCCCGGACCUUGGUGACACAGUACACAGUGAGGAAGUGUCUCCUGUUGCGAGUCCCCCAAGGACGGUCCCGCUCCUAGCUCAGCUCAGCGCCUGUUCUGGCUUCCAGCUUCCCUCCUGAGCACCUGGUGGCUGUCGGUUUACUGUGACCUCACUGCCAUUAUAUCUGCCUGGGUUUACAUUUGCAGCAUCUCACCAGGGCUGCCAGGAUCCAUCUCCCAGGCAAGGCUUUCUCCACAGAGGCUGCCGGGCCAGCAGGAGAGGAGACCUCCGAUCCAUCUGUCAGCAUGUGAAUAAUUUCAUCCACACAUACUUCUCUUCCAACCCCCCGGGCUAUUUUAGUUUCCCUGAACCGUGCAAGCCAAAGGCGCCUGUCAGCCUGCUCCCUCUCAGGAGCAGGACGCAUCCCCUUGAGCGCUCCAGGAGCCCCACCACACUGGUUUCUUUGUGAGGUCAUCUUUGCAGUGGUUUCCGGGCACUCUGGCCUCCUUCCUGAUAGCUUCACACAUACUGGUUUGCCAGAGUUCAGUUCAGUAAAAACAUAAGGGCCUUCUGAGGGCUCACCCCUGUGCUGUGCAUGGUGGGAGAUAUGAAAAUCACGGGGGGGUAUCUGGGGGAUAGGGUGUAGUCAAGAGUCACCCAAGGUGGGUCGCCCAACUUGAGUCCCAAAGAGAGAGAGUUCAGUUGCCAAUUAGAUUGGGGAAUUUCGACAAUUCAAAACACAUAUUUAUAUAUCAAAGGUUCUGAGAAGUCCUGUCAUAAAGAAAUUCUGUUCCCCCAUUUUAGCCUACCAUUUCCCCAACCCAGCAUAAUAUUGACCAUGAAACUCUUCUUAUCACAACGACUUACAUCUC